GGUUUUGUAUUUUAAGAUAUUGGAAAAAGUCCGCUUUGCGUGUGGAAAAUGGGGAGACCCCCAAAACUU
rnacentral:tRNA from 1 species